AGAGGGGGCAAGCGUUGCUCGGAAUUACUGGGCGUAAAGGGCGCGUAGGCGGGAUGGCAAGUCGGUCGUGAAAUCCCCCGGCUCAACUGAGGAUCGUCGAUCGAUACUGCCGUUCUUGAGGAUUGCAGAGGAGACUGGAAUUCCCGGUGUAGCGGUGAAAUGUGUAGAGAUCGGGAGGAACACCGGUGGCGAAGGCGGGUCUCUGGGCAAUUCCUGACGCUGAGGCGCGAAAGCGUGGGGAGCAAACGGGAUUAGAUACCCCGGUAGUCCACGCUGUAAACGAUGACGACUAGGUGGUGGGGGGGGUUCAGUCCCUUCCGUGCCGCAGCUAACGCAUUAAGUCGUCCGCCUGGGGAGUACGGCCGCAAGGUUG
rnacentral:rRNA from 1 species